rnacentral:rRNA from 1 species
ACAUGCAAGUCGAACGAUGAAGCCCUUCGGGGUGGAUUAGUGGCGAACGGGUGAGUAACACGUGGGCAAUCUGCCCUUCACUCUGGGACAAGCCCUGGAAACGGGGUCUAAUACCGGAUAACACUCUGUCCCUCAUGGGGCGGGGUUAAAAGCUCCGGCGGUGAAGGAUGAGCCCGCGGCCUAUCAGCUUGUUGGUGGGGUAAUGGCCUACCAAGGCGACGACGGGUAGCCGGCCUGAGAGGGCGACCGGCCACACUGGGACUGAAACACGGCCCAGACUCCUACGGGAGGCAGCAGUGGGGAAUAUUGCACAAUGGGCGAAAGCCUGAUGCAGCGACGCCGCGUGAGGGAUGACGGCCUUCGGGUUGUAAACCUCUUUCAGCAGGGAAGAAGCGAAAGUGACGGUACCUGCAGAAGAAGCGCCGGCUAACUACGUGCCAGCAGCCGCGGUAAUACGUAGGGCGCAAGCGUUGUCCGGAAUUAUUGGGCGUAAAGAGCUCGUAGGCGGCUUGUCACGUCGGAUGUGAAAGCUCGGGGCUUAACCCCGAGUCUGCAUUCGAUACGGGCUAGCUAGAGUGUGGUAGGGGAGAUCGGAAUUCCUGGUGUAGCGGUGAAAUGCGCAGAUAUCAGGAGGAACACCGGUGGCGAAGGCGGAUCUCUGGGCCAUUACUGACGCUGAGGAGCGAAAGCGUGGGGAGCGAACAGGAUUAGAUA